rnacentral:rRNA from 1 species
AUACGGAGGAUCCGAGCGUUAUCCGGAUUUAUUGGGUUUAAAGGGUGCGCAGGCGGCCAUUUAAGUCAGCGGUUAAAUCGUGGGGCUCAACCCCAUUCUGCCGUUGAUACUGGGUGGCUUGAUUGCGGUCGAGGUUGGCGGAAUUCGUUGUGUUGCGGUGUAAUGCAUAGAUAUGACGAAGAACACCGAUUGCGUAGGCAGCUGACCAGAUCGCAAAUGACGCUCAUGCACGAAAGUGCGGGGAUCGAACAGGAUUAGAUACCCUGGUAGUCCGCACAGUAAACGAUGAAUACUUGUUUUCGGCGAUAUAAUGUCGGAGGCAAAGCGAAAGCGAUAAGUAUUCCACCUGGGGAGUACGCCGGCAACGGUGAAACUCAAAUGAAUUGACGGGG